AUUCGAUCUUUUUCGAUACAUUUUCAAGAUUUUGGAUGUAGUCAUAGUGGUACAUCAUAAUGUAACGUAAGAAUAACGAGUUUACUGUGAAAGAUUCAACCAGACCUUUUUCUGGAGAGCCCAAGUUGUCAUUGUCUACAUGCAAAACUUUUGAAACACUGCUGGGAGAGUUAUCGUCCUAUUAAAAAUGUAAUAAAGCUAUGAAAACAUGGAUUGAUUUA